GCUCUUUAUAAAGGAAGUCACCCUCCCAAAUUUGGGGAAGGCAUCCCACAUGGCAGGAAUGCUAUUGCGUCUGAGCACAGUUAGGGUGCAAUGAGGAUAGUUAUGGGUAUUAGGGAGAAACAAGAACCUGCUAGAGACGCAAACAACAAUGUCAAAUGCCCUCUGAGUCUGCAUCUAUUUUAAGCAUCUUAGUCUGCGAGAUCAUCCAGGCAACAAGUGUCGAACAUCUUAGUCUGCGAGAUCAUCCAGGCAACAAGUGUCGAACAGCACACACAGUGGUCUUUUUCACAGGUUUCAUUCCUCAAAAUCAGUAAAAAAAAAAGAUAAUGGUAGUACAAUAAAAAAGAAAACUGGAGUCCCCUAGGUAAGGAACCGUGUAGACUGAGGUUAUUGCCAUGCCAUCCUUCAUUAUCAUCCAUCGCAAGCGUCUCCCACAACAACCCAUGCUGUUGACAACCCAUUGUUUCUUUGAGGACAAAGAUAACCCUGUGAAAUUCCUGCAGAGUGGAUCUUACUGACUGAGGAGUGAAAAUACACCAUACUGUGAGCCUCUGGACCUUACUUUAUGUCUCUGCCUGGGAUCAACUAUAGCCCCUCACCUGGCCAUUAUAGGUGUCUUUCCUCAUAAAUAAAACCAAGUGACAGGUCUACACAGAGACCCAUCAAUAUUUUAUGGUAUGCUAAAAUUCUUGUAAUGGUAUAGAGUCCUGUACUCAUGUUAAUUCUUUGUUUGAGGGUACACAUGUUGGUAUUUCCAUGCUGAUGUCCUUGGAAUUUGUUGCAACUGGGAGUGAUGAAUUGGGCACUAAUCCAUAGGCCUCAUGUGUGGACAUUCUGUUCAUAUAGUACACAUGAAUGCAGACAGAAACCCUGAAAUAGUGUUUAAAGGUAAGUACAAAAGUACAUAGUUAUAAUAAUAUUUUCAAGUUACUGUCAUCAAAAUGAAUAAUAGUUUAUUUUUUCUACAACUGUUUUUUCAUUUGUAGAGUAUUUGAAUAUGACUGAAUAUGAUUCAUUACAUAAAACUGGCAGACAAAACUGAAAGUGAGUUCCCUUGACAGUUACCAUACAGAAAGGGUCAACAGAUAAACAAGGAGUUAAGUGCCUAUGACAAGUGAUAAGACUGUUCUAUUCUGACACCCAGCCACAUCUUUUAAACGAUGACUGGCGUCAAAGUGCAAAAGGAAGUGAGAAAUGCCAAACCAUUGUUGAAGACUCAGUAAAGAUAACGAUGACAUCUCUUGUUUUCUAAAGUCAGAGCAGCACUUAACAUUACGAACAUCAUUCUCACACAGCAGAAUUGUGAGUGCAAGUGGGAAUAUUACAACCAUGACAUUUAUGAUAAAAAAAUACAAAUAAAAAAGGACCCCUGUGAGCACAAUAUAUACUCAGUGAGGCAGAGGACAAGACAAAAGCCUGUGAGAGAUCUGCCCUGAGGUGAGUUAUAUCUAGACGGCAUGGUUACAUCUUGACAUCAAGGUAGGAACCAUUGGGAGUCUAAUUGACACAAAAUAAAGAUUAUUUUAAAAAUAGCAAACUGGAAAAAUAAACUGGGACUGAUAUGUAUAAAACUAUCGUUUUACAAUAUGUAAGAAGUAUUUUCUUUAGCUUUUGUGUUUUUUUUG